GAUGAACGCUAGCGGCAGGCCUAACACAUGCAAGUCGAGGGAGAGGUUACCUUCGGGUAACCAAAACCGGCGCACGGGUGCGUAACGCGUAUACAAUCUGCCUUUCACAUAGGGAUAGCCCGAAGAAAUUUGGAUUAAUACCUAAUGGUAUAUAAGAGCGGCAUCGUUUUUAUAUUAAAGCUACGGUGGUGAAAGAUGAGUAUGCGUUCUAUUAGCUAGUUGGAGAGGUAACGGCUCCCCAAGGCGACGAUAGAUAGGGGUUCUGAGAGGGAUGUCCCCCACCCUGGUAUUGAGAUACGGACCAGACUCCUACGGGAGCCACCCCUGAGGAUUUUUGUACAAUGCUCGGGAAUACUGAUCUAGCGAUGCUACGUCCUGAUGAAGGUUCUAUGGAUUGUUCUUUGCUUCUGUUACCCGAGAAUUCUCAUCCCC
rnacentral:rRNA from 1 species